rnacentral:rRNA from 1 species
AUUGAACGCUGGCGGCAUGCCUUACACAUGCAAGUCGAACGGUAACGCGGGGCAACCUGGCGACGAGUGGCGAACAGGUGAGUAAUGCAUCGGAACGUGCCCAGUAGUGGGGGAUAGCUCGGCGAAAGCCGGAUUAAUACCGCAUACGACCUACGGGUGAAAGCGGGGGACCGCAAGGCCUCGCGCUAUUGGAGCGGCCGAUGUCAGAUUAGGUUGUUGGUGAGGUAAAGGCUCACCAAGCCGACGAUCUGUAGCUGGUCUGAGAGGACGACCAGCCACACUGGGACUGGGACACGGCCCAGACUCCUACGGGAGGCAGCAGUGGGGAAUUUUGGACAAUGGGCGCAAGCCUGAUCCAGCAAUGCCGCGUGAAGGAAGAAGGCCUUCGGGUUGUAAACUGCUUUUGUACGGAACGAAACGGUCCUGGUUAAUACCUGGGGCUAAUGACGGUACCGUAAGAAUAAGCACCGGCUAACUACGUGCCAGCCGCCGCCGUAAAAC